rnacentral:rRNA from 1 species
AGAGUUUGAUCCUGGCUCAGGACGAACGCUGGCGGUGCGCCUUAUGCAUGCAAGUCGAGCGAAGCUUUUCAGUAGUUUACUACAGAAAAUGACUGAGCGGCGAACGGGUGAGUAACGCGUGAGCAAUCUACCUUAGUUACUGGGACAGCCCGAGGAAACUCGGAUUAAUACCGGAUAAUCUUAUUACAUCACAUGAUAUUUUAAGUAAAGGUCAGCCGAACUAAGAUGAGCUCGCGUUCUAUCAGCUUGUUGGUGGGGUAACAGCCUACCAAGGCUACGACGGAUAGCUGGUCUGAGAGGACGAUCAGCCACACUGGGACUGAGACACGGCCCAGACUCCUACGGGAGGCUGCAGCAGGGAAUAUUGCGCAAUGAGCGAAAGCUUGACGCAGCGACACCGCGUGUGGGAUGACGGUUCUAGGAUUGUAAACCACUUUCAGGAGGGAAGAAAAUGACGGUACCUCCACAAGAAGCCCCGGCCAACUACGUGCCAGCAGCCGCGGUAAUACGUAGGGGGCGAGCGUUGUCCGGAUUUAUUGGGCGUAAAGAGCUCGUAGGCGGUUCAACAAGUCGGUCGUGAAAGUUCAGGGCUUAACCCUGAAAUGUCGAUCGAUACUGUUGUGACUAGGAUAUGGUAGAGGUGAGUGGAAUUCCGAGUGUAGCGGUGAAAUGCGUAGAUAUUCGGAGGAACACCAAUAGCGAAGGCAGCUCCCUGGACAACUAUCGACGCUGAGGAGCGAAAGCUAGGGGAGCAAACAGGAUUUGAUACCCUGGUAGUCCUAGCUGUAAACGAUGGAUACUAGAUGUAGGUAUUGGAUUGACGAUUUCUGUAUCG